rnacentral:tRNA from 1 species
UGGCUCAGUGGUUAAGAGCACUGGCUGCUCUUCCAGAGGUCCUGAGUUCAAAUCUCAG